UGUUAAGAUAAAGAUUUACACUUAUAGUAAAACCAAACAUUAGAAUAAUAAAAUAACAAUUAUCAAAACAACUCAUCAACAUUUUGCUGCACUUGAAAACAGUGUGUUUUACACAGUAUUGGUCAAAGGUGAUGGGUAUUUCUCUUCAAUGAGACAGUCAUAUUGCAAUGUUGUAAACAAGGUCCACAAUACACUUGCUUUAAGAAUAUGCAAUCUUGGCGGGCUCAGCGGCCCCGGCCCUGGGAGCGCCCGGGCGGAGCGGGCGGCCGGGCGCGGAGGAGCCGAGCGGCCCGCGGAGGGCCAGGGGCCGGGCGCGAGCAGCGGCGGCGGAGCUGCCGGUCCUACAUGAUGAGAGAUUUUGGGGUGCUUCUCUCUCCUCUGUGUAGUCGAUAGUUUGGGUGUUGAAGAGAUGGCUGACAGUGUUAAAACAUUUCUCCAGGACCUGGCCAGGGGAAUCAAAGACUCCAUACGGGGUAUUUGCACCAUCUCAAAGUUGGAUGCUCGAAUCCAGCAAAAGAGAGAGGAGCAGCUCCGAAGAAGGGCAAGCAGUGUCCCGGCACAGAGGAGAGCCCAGAGCACGGAGCGGAAGCGAGAGAGCGAGCCACGUAUUGUUAGUAGAAUUUUCCAGUGUUGGGCUUGGAAUGGUGGAGUAUUCUGGUGUAGUCUCUUAUUUUAUGGAAUGUUUAUUCCUGGGCUUCAGUAUGUAACAGCCCUAAUUAUCGGUGAUCCAUCACUACAUGGAGUUUUUUGGUCCUGGCUGGAAUUCUUCCUCACGUCAAUUUUCAGCUCUCUCUGGGUGCUCCCCCUGUUUGUGCUGAGCAAAGUCGUAAAUGCCAUUUGGUUUCAGGAUACAGCUGACCUGGCAUUUGAGGUAUCAGGGGGAGACCUCAUCCAUUCCCCAGUGUCAGUAAAAUAAUUGCUGACAUGCUUUUCAACCUUUUGUUGCAGGCUCUUUUCCUUAUCCAGGGAAUGUUCGUGAGCCUCUUCCCUAUCCAUCUUAUUGGUCAGCUGGUUAGUCUCCUUCAUAUGUCCCUUCUGUACUCACUGUAUUGCUUUGAAUAUCGUUGGUUCAAUAAAGGAAUUGAAAUGCACCAACGGUUGUCAAACAUAGAAAGGAACUGGCCUUACUACUUUGGCUUUGGUUUGCCGUUGGCUUUUCUCAGGGCAAUGCAGUCCUCAUACAUUAUCAGUGGCUGCCUUUUCUCCAUCCUCUUUCCUUUAUUCAUUAUCAGCGCCAAUGAGGCAAAGACCCCUGGAAAAGCAUACCUCUUCCAGGUGCAACUCUUCUCCUUGAUGGUCUUCUUAAGCAACCGACUCUUCCACAAGACAGUGUACCUGCAGUCUGCCCUAAGCAGCUCAACCUCUGCAGAGACGUUCCCUUCGCCACAUCCAUCUCCUGCCAAACCGAAAGCUGCUGCAGGCCACUGAGCUCCCUGCCACCCAAAGGGGGUGGGUGGGAGUGGAGGGAGGCUGCCAAGGGCCUUCUGCAUAUUCACUUCUCUCUGAGGAAUUGGAAGGUUUGUCUCUGGUGCACAUGAGGCAGAAUCUUCCUGACAUCAAUGUGUGACUUCUUAACACCACCUGAGUCUGAAAGGACCAUAGGUUUUUCUGCAGCUAUUUUCUAGCCUUUGCCAUCCCCUGUGCUGUGCCUGGAUUUUGUUUUGUCCCUGUGCUAUUUACCCUCCUCCUUUCCUGCCUUCCACCACCCUUGGAUGAAUGGGUUUUGUAAUUCUAGCUGUUGUAUUUUGUGGAUUUGUUAUUUUUGUUGUUUUUCUGUGAAGCACAUACAUUGGAUGUGGGAGGUAAAGGAGGAUCUCAGUUGCUCCUGGUCACUCCUGUUUUAGCCAUCACUGUCUUGUUUCUUGUAACUCAGGUUAGGAUUUGGUCUCUCUUGCUCUACUGCAAAAAAAAAAAAAGAAAAAGAAAAAGAAAAAAAGAA